rnacentral:rRNA from 1 species
ACCAAGGGCAUGCCCAGUACGGCGAGUGAAGCGGCAAGAGCUCAAAUUUGAAAGCUGGCUCCUUCGGGGUCCGCAUUGUAAUUUGUAGAGGAUGCUUCGGGAGCGGUCCCCAUCUAAGUGCCCUGGAACGGGACGUCAUAGAGGGUGAGAAUCCCGUAUGGGAUGGGGUGUCCGCGCCCGUGUGAAGCUCCUUCGACGAGUCGAGUUGUUUGGGAAUGCAGCUCUAAAUGGGUGGUAAAUUUCAUCUAAAGCUAAAUAUUGGCCGGAGACCGAUAGCGCACAAGUAGAGUGAUCGAAAGAUGAAAAGCACUUUGAAAAGAGAGUUAAAAAGCACGUGAAAUUGUUGAAAGGGAAGCGCUUGCGACCAGACUCGCUCGCGGGGUUCAGCCGGCAUUCGUGCCGGUGUACUUCCCCGCGGGCGGGCCAGCGUCGGUUUGGGCGGUCGGUCAAAGGCCCUCGGAAGGUAACGCCCCUAGGGGCGUCUUAUAGCCGAGGGUGCAAUGCGACCUGCCUAGACCGAGGAACGCGCUUCGGCUCGGACGCUGGCAUAAUGGUCGUAAACGACCCGUCUUGAAAC